rnacentral:rRNA from 1 species
CCUACGGGUGGCAGCAGUGGGGAAUAUUGCACAAUGGGGGAAACCCUGAUGCAGCGACGCCGCGUGAGUGAAGAAGUAAUUCGUUAUGUAAGCUCUAUCAACAGGGAAGAAAAUGACGGUACCUGAGUAAGAAGCCCCGGCCAACUACGUGCCAGCAGCCGCGGUAAUACGUAGGGGGCAAGCGUGAUCCGGAUUUACUGGGUGUAAAGGGGGCGUAGACGGCAGUGCAAGUCUGGAGUGAAAGGCGGGGGCUCAACCCCCGGACUGCUCUGGAAACUGUACGGCUGGAGUGCAGGAGAGGUAAGUGGAAUUCCUAGUGUAGCGGUGAAAUGCGUAGAUAUUAGGAGGAACACCAGUGGCGAAGGCGGCUUACUGGACUGUAACUGACGUUGAGGCUCGAAAGCGUGGGGAGCAAACAGGAUUAGAUACCCUAGUAGUC